GGCUUGGUGGUCUAGUGGUAUGAUUCGCGCUUAGGGCUCACCCUACAGCACACACAUGUAUGCGCGAGGUCCCGGGUUCGAUCCCCGGCCAAGCCC